CAAAGACCUUGGAAAAUCUCCCUGCCUCCAGCAGCUCAUCCUUCCCUCUCUAACAUACUUACUCCUUGCAGGCUGUCCCAGCUCCUCAUAGCCAUCUGCCACCACUGGCAGGUGAGGAGCGAGGAAGAGGAGCCAAGCGGGGACAGGAGAAGAAGGUCACAGUGGGGGCGGCGGGGAAGAUGGCUGUGCUCUUCACAGAAUCACAGAAUUUUAAAGGUUGCAAGGGACCUCUGGAGAUCAUUUAGUCCAAGACUCCUGCUAACGAAGGUUCCUUAGAACAGAUUGCAGAGGAAAGCCUCCAGGAGAUACCUAGUAAGCAUCAAAGACUUCAGAGUUUUACUGAACACUAAACUUCAUAUUUCUUUGAAGAUCCUCCCUAGAUUUCCUAUGAUCCUACCUACUUCAGCAGGAGAGGUUCUGUGGAGUGGUUCUGUGAGAGGGUAUUUGGUGUGUUCGCAUCUGAGAGGCAGUGGAAGAUUGGAAUAACACACACAAAAGGUCAGUGACUAUGGUAAGAAGAAAAUGAAGAAAAGAUGUGCAACUGCAUUCCUCCAUAUGAAAAAAAAUGGCACCCACUGACAUUCAUCAACAGUUGCUGAGCAUUUAUGGAGACCAAACUGGAUGUGAGCAAUAAAACUGGGACAAUAUUUGCCACUUCGAGUCAACAGGAACUUCUCCAGAUUCCCAAGAGUACUGAAAAAUAACUGAGAGAGGUCUCUCAGAGACAUCAGCCAGCUCUUUAAGUAUCCUGGGAAGAAUUCCAUCAGAGCCCAUAGACAUUAAUGCAUCCAGGUGGAGUAGCAAAUCCUGCACAAGUUUGAGUCUAGCUGGAUGUUUAUUGUUAUCACAGUAACAGUGCACCAGCAUGAGGCUCCAGGAGUCCCAGAGCCCAUCACUGGUGCUGAAGACAGAGGUGAAGAAGGCAUCAGCCAUCUUUCUUUGUCCGCAUCUCUAUUGUGAUGAUCCUCAUCAUGUAAUAGACUGAUAUUAUCUCUCGUCUUUCUCCUACUGUUAACAUAAUUUAAAAAUAUUUUGUGUUGUUUCUAACAGUAUAGGCCAGCUGCAACUCUACCUGAGCUUUGGCCACACGGAUUUUCUCCUCACAAUGAUGAACAGCAUCUUUGUAGUCCUUCCAUGUCACCUGAUCUUACUUUCAGUUGCCAUGAACUUUGUUUUUCUGCCUAAGCUCUAGAGGAUUCCUGUUCAGCCAAACCUGCCCUCUGCUCUGUCUGCAUGAUUCCUGAC
ensembl:lncRNA